UGGGGUGCUCGAGUGGCGAACGGGCGAGUAACACGUGAGUAACCUGCCCUUGACUUUGGGAUAACUUCAGGAAACUGGGGCUAAUACCGGAUAGUAGCUCCUGCUGCAUGGUGGGGUUGGAAAGUUUCGGCGGUUGGGGAUGGACUCGCGGCUUAUCAGCUUGUUGGUGGGGUAGUGGCUUACCAAGGCUUUGACGGGUAGCCGGCCUGAGAGGGUGACCGGCCACAUUGGGACUGAGAUACGGCCCAG
rnacentral:rRNA from 1 species